ensembl:lncRNA
UCUUUCUCUGCGAGGAUGCUACGCUGGAGCUAGAGCUGGAUUUACUUAGAAAACAGACCAUAAAAGAGAAAGUUAACUGCAGACGUUACGGAAGUAGACAAGAACCAUCAGACACAUUUGAAUCACGUAGAAAUCGAUAUUCCGGCUGGUUUUCUGAGGAUUCUCUUCAGCGGGAUUUUCAUCCAUCUGCCACUUUGUGUUGAUGUCCAUCCACGUCCACAUCUCCAUCACACUGGGAUCAGCCAUCACCUCGGACCGUCUCGCCAGACAUUCAUUAUAAGAGGGCGGUAGGAUCUUUUUUCUCUGAGUGCACUCAAUAUUCUUUUUUGGUUGUUUUUUUUUUGUCCAGGGGUUUGGGUUUGAUUUUCCUGGCUGUUCACCCAGUUGUGGGUGAACAAAGACAUUUUAAUCCUUGGAACUGUUGGUGGACUUAAUUGUAAUUAUCGUGAACUGUCACUGGAAACGAUGUUUUGGUCGUUUCAACAUUCAUGAGCUCAAUUUUGUAUGUGGGUUCAAUAUACUUUUUCCUAAAAAUUUACAAUCUGUAGUCAUUGUGUGUCUUUGGGGUGACUGUAUUCUUAAC